CCUACGGGAGGCAGCAGUAAGGAAUCUUCCACAAUGGACGAAAGUCUGAUGGAGCAACGCCGCGUGCAGGAUGAAGGCUUUCGGGUCGUAAACUGCUUUUAUAUGGGAAGAUUAUGACGGUACCAUAUGAAUAAGGACCGGCUAACUACGUGCCAGCAGCCGCGGUAAUACGUAGGGUCCAAGCGAUAUCCGGAAUUACUGGGCGUAAAGCGUGUGUAGGUGGAUUAAUAAGUGUGAUGCGAAAUCCGGCGGCUCAACCGUUUGGACUGUGUCGCAUACUGUUAGUCUAGAGGACGGCAGAGGUAAGUGGAAUUACGGGUGUAGCAGUGAAAUGCGUAGAUAUCCGUAGGAACACCAAUGGCGAAGGCAGCUUACUGGGCCACACCUGACACUGAGACACGAAAGCGUGGGGAGCGAACAGGAUUAGAUACCCUGGUAGUCCACGCCGUAAACCGAUGCAUACUAUUAGUAUGGGGUAUCGACCCCCUGUGCUGAGAAGCUAACGCGAUAAGUAUGCCGCCUGGGGGAGGUACGAGCGCGACGACGUAAACUAACAANAGAAGUAGACGCGUGAGACGAGCCGACGGACGACGACGAGGGAGGAGG
rnacentral:rRNA from 1 species